GGUAGGAUGCCAAUAUCACUUGUUCUUUUACUAGUGGGCUUGGCCACAUCUUGGAAUCACAUCUUGAAAGCAUUGAGUCGGAUCUCUUUUGAGGCCUUGUUCCCGGCUGUACUGCCAUCCAUCCUUUCCAGCCGUGAGCUGUAAUGUCCUGGGGCUUGUAAGAUUGUCAGGAUAUGGGAGCAUUCUAAACGUGGCAUUGUCUCUCACAGCCAUCUUGAUCAUUGUGACUGACAGUUCUUAGAACAGGUCACUGUUACAGUCUUUUCUUCUGCUCCUUAGAGCCCCCUUCAUCCACCAAUGCCAUACCAUCGGUUGUCUCUUUUGGCAUCGUCUCUGUCCUUGCCAUCGUUCUUCUUGCCGAGAGCUUUUUUUAUCAUCCUCAUGUCACACUGCUUGUAGUAUAAUGUGUUGUUUGAGUUUGUGUCUAGCCUGGAAUUGCUCUGCCCUGUAGAGUAGUCCUGGCGGGGGAGUAGGUGGAGAAGAAAGGAGACUUUACAGGGAGCCUUUUGCUUUGCUCAGCCACCUGAGCCACGCCUCGGAUGGAGUGACUGUGGCCAGUCUGUGUGGUGUUCAGUGGAGACGUGGGAGUGGUGCAGUGGUGUCUUGCAGUUUCAUAGUAGUUUGUCCUAAGGCCCACUACUGUGGGAUCCUAGGCAGUUUGCUUUGAGGAAUGAGAACUUGGGAAAGGCUAAGCUGGGUAACUUUGACAAAUAAUUCUUUUGCAGAGGGAGAGCAUGUAAACCUGAUGUGAACGGAGGAGACCAGAGGAGCACAGCAACGAGGUGGGUCGGUGCCUGAAGUCCAAGCUACGGCCUGACUCUGGGCUCUACGUUUACCUCACUGUUCGGAUUUUCAUUUUGAAGAUGCGAGGCACUUGGCACAGCAGGGUGGUCUGCAGCAUUCAAAUCGCUACUCCAACAUGACAGACACCCUUGCAGAAAGAGGUCACAGUUGAGCACUUUCAGGUGGAACCUACCUUGGCAAUGCAACACUUUUGGACACUACAUCGGCAUGUGCUUUUCCACUUUGUUUUGCCCCUUCUCCCCUGGGAAGGAAGUAAACCUGGAUAUCAGCAGUCAAGGUCAAGUGAGUGAGGUGGCCCACUUGUAUUAUGCCUGCAGGGGCUGAACCCCCUCAUGGACCAGCUGAUGGAGCCAGUUUAUCACCCUUGAGCUGCCCCUGUGAGCCUUCCAGAAGUAUUACAGGGCUCUGCGAUGAAGCCUGUACCUUUUCUGUUUGAAGGGAUACCCUGCGACGGCGGCGUCGGCCUAGGAGUGCGGCCACAGCGUAUGAGCCGAGGACCGGGACGUUCUCAGGAGACGUAGACUAAGAGAGAACAGCCCUCUGAGGGCAGGAACUUCCCAGAUGAUGAGGCGGCCUUCUUUUGCACCUGAUGAGGAUUUGCAUCCCUGGAUAUCUGAGAGCUAAGUUGAGGGCUACACCUCAGGGAGGGGGAUGAGAGUGGGGUGCUGGGUCAGGACUUGGUGGGAGGGAUUUUUGAAUUAGCUUUGGAGAUGGGGAUGUUCACGAGAGGGCCCCUUAGGCCACGUAAAGGGAAAGCCUCGCUUUUGAUCACAAUGCUGAGGUGUGGAGGGCAGAGCAGUCCCGGUGUGUGUUGUCUUGUCCGGUGUGUGUUCUGUGUCUUUGGCUUCCCUUGGAUCAGAUCUCUCUGCCUUUUACCCUUAAGGGGCUUAUCAUAAGCAUUGGCCAUCAUCUCUAGCUUCUUGAACUUUCGUACUUCUCGGUAGGAUGCCAAUAUCACUUGUUCUUUUACUAGUGGGCUUGGCCACAUCUUGGAAUCACAUCUUGAAAGCAUUGAGUCGGAUCUCUUUUGAGGCCUUGUUCCCGGCUGUACUGCCAUCCAUCCUUUCCAGCCGUGAGCUGUAAUGUCCUGGGGCUUGUAAGAUUGUCAGGAUAUGGGAGCAUUCUAAACGUGGCGUUGUCUCUCACAGCCAUCUUGAUCAUUGUGACUGACAGUUCUUAGAACAGGUCACUGUUACAGUCUUUUCUUCUGCUCCUUAGAGCCUCCUUCAUCCACCAAUGCCAUACCAUCGGUUGUCUCUUUUGGCAUCGUCUCUGUCCUUGCCAUCGUUCUUCUUGCCGAGAGCUUUUUUUAUCAUCCUCAUGUCACACUGCUUGUAGUAUAAUGUGUUGUUUGAGUUUGUGUCUAGCCUGGAAUUGCUCUGCCCUGUAGAGUAGUCCUGGCGGGGGAGUAGGUGGAGAAGAAAGGAGACUUUACAGGGAGCCUUUUGCUUUGCUCAGCCACCUGAGCCACGCCUCGGAUGGAGUGACUGUGGCCAGUCUGUGUGGUGUUCAGUGGAGACGUGGGAGUGGUGCAGUGGUGUCUUGCAGUUUCAUAGUAGUUUGUCCUAAGGCCCACUACUGUGGGAUCCUAGGCAGUUUGCUUUGAGGAAUGAGAACUUGGGAAAGGCUAAGCUGGGUAACUUUGACAAAUAAUUCUUUUGCAGAGGGAGAGCAUGUAAACCUGAUGUGAACGGAGGAGACCAGAGGAGCACAGCAACGAGGUGGGUCGGUGCCUGAAGUCCAAGCUACGGCCUGACUCUGGGCUCUACGUUUACCUCACUGUUCGGAUUUUCAUUUUGAAGAUGCGAGGCACUUGGCACAGCAGGGUGGUCUGCAGCAUUCAAAUCGCUACUCCAACAUGACAGACACCCUUGCAGAAAGAGGUCACAGUUGAGCACUUUCAGGUGGAACCUACCUUGGCAAUGCAACACUUUUGGACACUACAUCGGCAUGUGCUUUUCCACUUUGUUUUGCCCCUUCUCCCCUGGGAAGGAAGUAAACCUGGAUAUCAGCAGUCAAGGUCAAGUGAGUGAGGUGGCCCACUUGUAUUAUGCCUGCAGGGGCUGAACCCCCUCAUGGACCAGCUGAUGGAGCCAGUUUAUCACCCUUGAGCUGCCCCUGUGAGCCUUCCAGAAGUAUUACAGGGCUCUGCGAUGAAGCCUGUACCUUUUCUGUUUGAAGGGAUACCCUGCGACGGCGGCGUCGGCCUAGGAGUGCGGCCACAGCGUAUGAGCCGAGGACCGGGACGUUCUCAGGAGACGUAGACUAAGAGAGAACAGCCCUCUGAGGGCAGGAACUUCCCAGAUGAUGAGGCGGCCUUCUUUUGCACCUGAUGAGGAUUUGCAUCCCUGGAUAUCUGAGAGCUAAAUGCAGAUGGAUUGAAUCUGUGGCAGAGUGCCCCAUACCAGGUGAGGGGGUUCCCACAGGAAGGAAGUAAUGCUGAAUAUCAGUGGUCAAGGUCAAUGGAGCGAGGUGGUCCACUGGGAAGGUGUCCCGGCCCUGGGAUGCUGGAGGCCAGGUGCUGCUGCUGCCCUAGGCAUGCCAAGGGACAGAGGCGAGCAGGUAUCGUCCGGGCCACCUCCGGAGUCAGAUGAAGAUUUGAGGUACCACAAGUAGGUGCAGAGCCUAAGUUUGGAAACGGCUGGUAAGCGAUGAGCCUCGGCAGUUAUGAGGGAGAGGGGCAUUGUGCAAGGGGUCACUUCUGGGACGUGUCAUCACAGUCUGAAUUUUGUCAUUAUUCUCUAUCUUUUGUAGCUGCCCAAGUGGGCUGUGGGCCAUGUAUUGACAUCCACGGUGCUGAAGCAUUCUUUUCUGUCGAGGAUGGAUUUUGUCUGCUGGUCUUCGGAGAGCUAAGUGUGGGGACUGUUGGUUGGGAGAAGGCAAAAACCUUUGGAAUCACAGGAGGCAAUUUGAAGUUAGCUUAGAGGAGAGGGCUGUAGUGGGCCGGGCCCCUUGGAGUUACAGGAGAGGGGGUUUCUCUUCAGCAUCACUCGAGCCUUUGCCGGGCCGGGCAGUUCCAACCUAUCUCCAUGUUCUCGUGAGCUUCGCAUCGUUGGAUGUUGAGUCUCGAUGUCAUUGUCCAUCUUCUCACCUGAGGAGCCUGCCUUCAGGUCUGGCAUGAUUGCCACGGUCUAAAUUUUGCCUACUCUUCAGUGUAGCCACGCUUUGGAGCACUUUUGAACAUAGCAUGCGGGCAUCUCGCAUCUUGGCCGUUUGUUGGUCGGUCAUGUUUUGUGACGUCACUUCAGCCUUUGGCGGCAGAAUCAUUCUCUAGGGAUCCCUUUGUAUCACCUGGCAGUCGUUGCCUCCUUCUCUAGGCCUACUGCGCUUCUUGAGCAUCCUCUUACCAGCUUUGGCACUAACUUCUCAUAAGGAGUUUAUAUUUCACUGUCAUGUACUACUGCCAUAGAGCCUUCUUUCCUUUGGCGUCAUCGGCCUCUGACUCAUCUUGCGCUAGGAAUCUUGGGUCCAUCAGGUAAAACUGCUGGGCAGUUUCAGUUUAUGUCUAUGUUAUGUGGUCUGUGUCCGUUGUCUUCAGUGUCAUAGGGCUUUGUGAUGUCUCAAUGCUUUACAGGCAUCGUUAUGGGCCUUAUUGGCAGCAGGAGUGCUUGCAUACUUUCCUGGAUUGGGCUUAUUCUGGCAUCUUUAUGGUUUUGCUUUUUGAGACCAGAAGAAGUACACAAGGUGUUCCUAUCCAUCUUCCUUCUCAGUUUUGCUAGUAUCUUUUUUUCAUGUGCCAUUCCCUUGGACUUCUAUAUGAAGUGUACUAGACCCUCCUCACUGCAGUAGUUUCGUAGCUUCUGUCGCCUCAAAGCAUCCUGGUCUCAAGAAUUUAUCUUCUGAAGCGUUAUCUCAAGUCUUCGUGUCAUCUCUGCUUAUAUUUGAUGCACUGGGUGUCCAUGUGCUGCUUGUGCUUGGAGCUGCCCUGCCCUGGCACAUUCAGUCAUGGCUAGUUUGAACAGUUUUAAACUCUCAUCUCUUGUCUAUGGGCUUUUGGGUAGAAAGCUUAUGGGCCUGGUGUGGGGAUAACUCCUAUCUGUCAGCUACUUGCAGACUGCCUCAUGCUGUCUUGCAGGUCCCCGAGGCAGAUUUUGAUCCCUAUAGUCACUGAUGCUACCAAUUUUCCCAGGAUCUACUGUUCCACAUCAAGGAGCAGCAGAUGGAAGAAGAUGUUAAAGCAUCUUCUUUAGGGGGGAGUGUUUCUAGUAAGGGCUGCAGUCAGUGUGUAAGCUGAGGAAGGGGUGUCUGAGAGUGUGUCUGUCUGUGUGUGUGUUGACUGGCUCUAACCUUAUGCGUGUGUCGUUUUUUGCCUUUCAGGUUCUUCAGUUCAUUUUAAAAUUUAGAAUAUGAAAAACCCAGCUGGUCCUGCCCAUGCUGUGGGGUCAGUCAGAGGGACACAGGGUUCCUCUUCUCCUCUCUGCUGGGAUGAACUGCCUAGGGAAUACCAUUUCUGACA